GGUCCGAUGGUGUAGUUGGUUAUCACGCUCGCUUCACACGCGAGAGGUCAUGAGUUCAAACCUCGUUCGGAUCA
rnacentral:tRNA from 1 species